CGGUUCUGCAUGGAUUCUGUCUCGAAGGAAGCCGUCUUUCCAAUCGUCCCUCUGGGAUAGCACUGGGAAGAUUCUGCUCGGUUUUCUCCGGUUCUGCAUGGAUUCUGUCUAGAAGGACGCCGUCUUUCCAAUCGUCCCUCUGGGAUAGGAGCCUUUUGGUUGUAACAGCUACAUUUAGAUCUAUGAUCCACCUGAGUUCCGUUUUCUGUGUGAAGUGAGGUCAUAAGGAACUUCGUGGGUGUGAGUCUGAAUCCCUUCUGCUCAAAACACGCGAUGAACUCUCCUGUAUGCCUGCUUCGUGCCUCUCAGCUUGGUGACAGUGAUGUUGCCAGGUAUACACUGCGUCGGAUUGUUCUUCCCAAGAUUCAUUCACACUGUCUCCAAAUCCUUCACGGCCUGCUAAGCGACAGCUACAACUCGCCGUGGACCCGCGUACUUCACCAAACCCGCGGAGAAUGGCUGAUCUGUCAUUUCACGCACUGGGAAGAUUCUGCUCCGUUUUCUCCCGUUCUGCAUGGAUUCUGUCUCGAAGGAAGCCGUCUUUCCAAUCGUCCCUCUGGGAUAGCACUGGGAAGAUUCUGCUCCGUUUUCUCCCGUUCUGCAUGGAUUCUGUCUAGAAGGACGCCGUCUUUCCAAUCGUCCCUCUGGGAUAGGUCAACUAAAAAAUCCGGAUAUUAUAUAUAAAACAAACGUAAGACUGAAGGUGGAGAGAAUUCAAAACUACUAGGGACCUCAGGACCCAAGGAACAAUAGGAUGGAAUGAUGAUUUAAAGAUGGCUGCCUUUCCAACAGAGUCCAUGGAAUACGAGAAAAAAGAGCAGAAUAUUUCCAAUGCUGAUGAACAAAUGAAACUGUCCAAAGAAUUCUAUAUCCAGCAAAAUUUUCUUUCCAAACUAAGAAAAAGGACAUAUCCACAUACACAAACUUCAGACAGUUUGUCACUGAAUCGUCAGUAAUUUCUGUUGCUACAGGAAGUUCUACAGGCUGCAGGAAGUGGCACGUGAUGAAAACCGAGAAUAUCCGGUAUGCCGGAAAAGCCCUGGGCAGAAAGACUGAGAUUGCGCCCUCUGCUGACAGUAGUUGGUAGUUGUACUUAUAACUUUUCUGAAUUAUGGCAAUGCUUUUCCUAUAACUGUGCCUUCACCAGUUUUGCCACUUACUAAUCAUCAUUCACAUUAUAAUAAAAGACAUUUUCUUGCUUACUCUAAAAACUCUUUGGAAGAAAUGUCUUAGUUUCUUCUAAUCUGCCCCUUACAUCUGAAUCUUUAUCUUCCACCGUGUGACUAAAACACUCUCAUGUAGUCAUAUGACAAUAUAUUAAGGUUUUCUGGUUUUUUACAACUCUACAAAAAGAUCUUUAAACUCUAUCUCUUCAACCAAAUUCUAGCUGGGUAAUCUCCACAUAACUUAUAUGACCAAAAAUUUCUCUCUUCCUGCCACCUUUCCUGAAACUUCAGAUUUUACAGCCAAAUCAAUGGGUUCCUAACCCAGCAUUACACAUG